rnacentral:rRNA from 1 species
GUGUCAGCAGCCGCGGUAAAACGUAGGGGGCGAGCGUUAUCCGGAAUUACUGGGCGUAAAGGGCGUCUAGGCGGCUUGCUAAGUCUUGUGUGAAAUCUCCCGGCUCAACUGGGAGGGUGCAUGGGAAACUGGCAGGCUUGAGACUCGAAGGGGGGUGCGGAAUUCCCGGUGGAGCGGUGGAAUGCGUUGAUAUCGGGAGGAACACCCGAGGCGAAGGCGGCACCCUGGUCGAGGUCUGACGCUGAAGCGCGACAGCGUGGGGAGCGAACGGGAUUAGAUACCCGCGUAGUCC